CUUCAUCCGCGUGUAAAUGAGGUAUUAAAAAUGUAAUAAAUUUAUUGGACGUGAUGUCGGAACGCCAAGAAUGUGAUGCCAAAAAUCUUUGCCGAGUCAAAGUAUCUCCAAGUAAUGUGAAGGUGCAACAAUCUGACGUAUAUCUAACUAUCUUAGUUAUAAUAGAAACUUUCUUUAAGCCUUAUGCCUGGCAAAUACAGGAGUUUCGUGGAUAUAGUUUGUUUAGCAUUCCGGAUUGAUGUGGUUACAAAAUGUCGUGUCAGAGGCCAAUCGAUGGUUGACCGGUCAAAAAACUUUCAAUAUCACCUCGAUUUCAGCUGUCGUCGGUUAAACUUGUUAACAAAUAUUAUGCACAUAACUAUCGCAUUUCUGGCAUCUCCAUCGCUGCUGACGACGACAAACGUCUGUCAUUGAAAACUUAGUCGUCGCAGCGUCGUUUGAAAAGUUUCGAUGUUUGCUGCCACCAUGGAUGACGGGUGAACCGUAUUGUGUAUAGUAUUCCACCGCUUACAUGAAUACUUUACAUUAAGAGUGGACGGGACGCGAAAAUUGGAUUGCGAAUAUUUAAUUAUUAAGCGGAUAUCUUGUUUGGUGAAAUGUUUAUUUUGAACGUAGCCAAACAAAUGGCUACACACAACAACGCUGGUGAAAAAAUCAAUUUUAAUAUUAUAAUAUUAACCUAGUUAUAAACUAUAUAAAGAAAACAUCUUAUAGCCUAUCAAGAAGCGUAAUAUCGGUAGACUUUCAAUCAGCCGAGAGCCAAGGUGAUUAAUGACGCAUUUGCGAACCUUUUAUACAGAUCGUUUACUCACACUGUUAAGACAACUGUUUUAUUGCAAUGUUAGUAAUACGGUAUACAUGUGUCAUCUCAAUCGUCUUCAAGACUUCCUUGUACCUGUUCCACGCUUGUCUGGUUUAUCCUGUCGACGACUGUGUCACUAAAACAUCUAAAUACAAUUUGACUAAAAUGUUCAUGACUGAAAAAAAAUCGUUUUCGAGUAAAAAUAUUUUCUUGUACAUCUCAUAUUGUGUUGAUGCCAUUUAGGUAAUAAUUCGAAUUUCUACACAUGUUGUUAAUUAUGCAAGCUAAAUUUUAAUAUCAAAAAAUUUAAAGUUUUCGUAAUGGGCCGGGCUGAUACAUAGUGUGUUACAUUUUUGCUAUCACAGCUAAAUUUAAAUUCACUAAUAAAAAAUCAUAACUUUAAUAUUAGUAAUUUCUUAUAAAAUUAUGAAUUAGAUUUCAUAUAAGAUCCAA